rnacentral:rRNA from 1 species
UACAGAGGUCUCAAGCGUUGUUCGGAUUCAUUGGGCGUAAAGGGUGUGUAGGUGGCGCGCUAAGUCGGGUGUGAAAUUUCGGAGCUUAACUCCGAAACUGCAUUCGAUACUGGCGUGCUUGAGGACUGGAGAGGAGACUGGAAUUUACGGUGUAGCAGUGAAAUGCGUAGAUAUCGGAAGGAACACCAGUGGCGAAAGCGGACUUCCUCGGUC